rnacentral:rRNA from 1 species
CUAAGAAUAUUCCGCAAUGGGCGAAAGCCUGACGGAGCGACGCCGCGUGGAUGAUGAAGGCCGGAAGGUUGUAAAGUCCUUUUAUGACAGAGGAAUAACCGGGGCAGGGAAUGGCACCGGGGUGACUGUAGGUCAUGAAUAAGCACCGGCUAAUUACGUGCCAGCAGCCGCGGUAACACGUAAGGUGCGAGCGUUGUUCGGAAUUAUUGGGCGUAAAGGGCAUGUAGGCGGACCUGCAAGCUUGGAGUGAAAUCCACGGGCUCAACCCGUGAACUGCUCCGGGAACUGCAGGACUCGAAUCGCUGAGGGGGAG